rnacentral:rRNA from 1 species
AUUGAACGCUGGCGGCAGGCUUAACACAUGCAAGUCGAACGAGUGGCGGACGUGUGGGUAAUGCUUGGGAAUCUAGCUUAUGGAGGGGGAUAGCUACGGGAAACUGUAGCUAAUACCGCGUACCAUAGGAUGAGCCCAAGUGGGAUUAGGUAGUUGUUGAGGUAAAGGCUCACCAAGGCGACGAUCUCUAGCUGGUCUGAGAGGAUUACCAGCCACACUGGGACUGAGACACGGCCCAGACUCCUACGUGAGGCAGCAGUGGGGAAUAUUGCGCAAUGGGGGCAACCUGAUCCAGCCAUGCCGCGUGAAUGAAGAAGGCCUUAGGGUUGUAAAGUACUUUCAGUUGGGAGGCGUUACCGACAGAAGAAGCACCGGCUAACUCCGUGCCAGCAGCCGCGGUAAUUC